rnacentral:lncRNA from 1 species
GGAGUCACAAAGAUGGAGCAGACUCCCUGCCCUCCUGAAGCUCACUGUUGGCUGGGGGAAGAACACACACAGACACAUUCAAAAGAGCCUGAAAUGAGAAGCAAGUUAUGUUAGGCGCCAUGAUUGAUGGACUUAUGAAGCCCUGGGUGAGAGGACUACCAAUCACAGCCAGCUGCAAGAUUCCAGACUGGGUCAGAAGGAGAAGCCUAUUGAAUGGAGGCCUUAGUGGAAGAACCCAUCUUUAUCAAGAAAUAUACUUUCCUAGUUGCUUUGGGGUGGAGAAGAUGAGAUCCCAAACCUACCUUGUAAGGAGAACAAGAAAUAAAGAGAGAGGUAAACUUUGCUCCAGAAGAAAUGGUCCAGAAUAUUGAAGGUAGGCAAAGACAGGGGAGAAAGAGGACUAGAUCUGGUGGGAAACUGGAUUAAUCCGAAGCCUGUAGAUUAAGGGCACCAGUGAGAAGUUUCCUGUCGUGGAAUGGCCAAGAAGUUUUAAGACAGGGUGUCAAAUCUAC